rfam:Gossypium hirsutum cultivar TM-1 chromosome 2, whole genome shotgun sequence
UUAUUUUUGGUUUCAAAAACUUGUAUUAAUUUUCGAUAAUUUUGAUUCAGACAUUGUAGGAGUAGGAUUAAUAGUAGGUUUUUAGAUAUGUUUUGUUUAGGUUAAGAAGCAAUAACGGUAUCUGGGGAAUAAGCAUCGGCUAACUCUGUGCCAGCAGCUGCGGUAAUACAGAGGAUGCAAGCGUUAUCCGGAAUGAUUGGGGGUAAAGCGUAGGAUCCCAACUCAAAGGAGACACAAACAAUUUGAUCUUUACACGACAAAAGGAGGAAGCACCUUUCAUUAGCGGUUGGAGCAACCAUGACCAUUCAGAUAACUUCUUUC